rnacentral:rRNA from 1 species
AUUGAACGCUGGCGGCAUGCUUUACACAUGCAAGUCGAACGGUAACAGGCCGCAAGGUGCUGACGAGCGGCGAACGGGUGAGUAAUGCAUCGGAACGUGCACAGUCGUGGGGGAUAACUACUCGAAAGAGUAGCUAAUUCCGCAUACGAUCUAUGGAUGAAAGCGGGGGACCGUAAGGCCUCGCGCGAUUGGAGCGGCCGAUGUCAGAUUAGGUAGUUGGUGGGGUAAAGGCUCACCAAGCCAACGAUCUGUAGCUGGUCUGAGAGGACGACCAGCCACACUGGGACUGAGACACGGCCCAGACUCCUACGGGAGGCAGCAGUGGGGAAUUUUGGACAAUGGGCGCAAGCCUGAUCCAGCAAUGCCGCGUGCAGGAAGAAGGCCUUCGGGUUGUAAACUGCUUUUGUACGGAACGAAACGGCUCUGGUUAAUACCCGGGGCUAAUGACGGUACCGUAAGAAUAAGCACCGGCUAACUACGUG